AUGAGAGCACAGACUGACCCGUGGUUCUCUAAAUACCUCUUGAGAAUUGGCAAUGGAAUGGAGGAGACGAUCGGUGAUGAUUAUGUGCGUCUGCCUGAUGACAUUGUGAUUGGUUACACACCUGGUGACGCACCCGUCAUGAAGCUUAUUGAACAUGUGUUCCCAUCUCUUCAUGAGAACGCUUCAUCCGGUGCCUACAUGAGCACACAUGCUAUUAUUUCUACCAAGAAUGAGCACGUGGACGACCUAAAUGCAAAGAUGAUUGACAGGUUCCCCGGCCAAGAUAAGGUAUACUAUAGCUUUGAUUCCGUCGAUGAUGAUACACGCAAUAACUACCCAAUUGACUAUUUGAACAACCUCACUCCGAAUGGCUUGCCUCCCCAUAUUUUAAAAGUAAAAGUCAACUGUCCUGUCAUUCUGCUCUGGAAUCUUGAUCCUAAUAACGGACUUUGCAAUGGAACGAGAUUGAUGAUUAGAGCUUUCCAAAAUAACGCAAUCGACGCCGAGAUUGUUGGUGGACAACUGCUGGAAAGAGAGUGUUCAUCCUUAGGAUCCCGAUAG
rnacentral:rRNA from 1 species